rnacentral:tRNA from 2 species
GAUAAAAUAAGCUAAAUUAUAAGCUAUUGGGCUCAUACCCCGAAAAUGGAUUUCCCCCUUUUAUCA